rnacentral:lncRNA from 1 species
CCGGUACUAACUCAAUAACAAUGAGUGAAAUUCUCCCAAAAUCUGCCAAUAAAAAUCAUUUUCAAAGGAAAAAGAAAAAAACACAAGAAGAGGAAGAAAUGAACGUCCAAAAAAAAUUAAAAAAAGUAGAAAUAAAAUAAAUAUAAAUGGUUAAAUAAUUUAACUUAAAACAAAACUACUAUUUACUAAACAAAACAAAAUAAUAAUACUUCUCUAAAACACUCAC